GAUGAAGAACGUAGCGAAAUGCGAUAAGUAAUGUGAAUUGCAGAAUUCAGUGAAUCAUCGAAUCUUUGAACGCACAUUGCGCCCUCUGGUAUUCCGGGGGGCAUGCCUGUUCGAGCGUCAUUACAACCCUCAGGCCCCCGGGCCUGGCGUUGGGGAUCGGCGGAGCCCCCCGUGGGCACACGCCGUCCCCCAAAUGCAGUGGCGGUCCCGCCGCAGCUUCCAUCGCGUAGUAGCUAACACCUCGCGACUGGAGAGCGGCGCGGCCACGCCGUAAAACACCCAACUCUUCUGAAGUUGACCUCGAAUCAGGUAGGAAUACCCGCUGAACUUAAGCAUAUCAAUAAGCGGAGGA
rnacentral:misc_RNA from 1 species